rnacentral:rRNA from 1 species
AACGCGAAGAACCUUACCAGGUCUUGACAUCCUUUUGCCUUUCCUAGAGAUAGGAAUUUCCCUUCGGGGACAAAAGUGACAGGUGGUGCAUGGUUGUCGUCAGCUCGUGUCGUGAGAUGUUGGGUUAAGUCCCGCAACGAGCGCAACCCUUGUCCUUAGUUGCCAGCAUUUAGUUGGGCACUCUAAGGAGACUGCCGGUGACAAACCGGAGGAAGGUGGGGAUGACGUCAAAUCAUCAUGCCCCUUAUGACCUGGGCUACACACGUGCUACAAUGGAUGGUACAAAGGGCUGCGAGACCGCGAGGUUUAGCCAAUCCCAUAAAACCAUUCUCAGUUCGGAUUGUAGGCUGCAACUCGCCUACAUGAAGCCGGAAUCGCUAGUAAUCGUGGAUCAGCAUGCCACGGUGAAUACGUUCCCGGGCCUUGUACACACCGUGUCGA